GAACGGACCGGUUGAGGUCCACA
rnacentral:siRNA from 1 species